GCUGGAAGCAGGACCGCACGUGCGGGAAAUGCGGCGCGCGUGCGGCGAUGUGCGGGGCAGCAGCUCAGAAACGUGAUUUUUGAGUCAUUUCUUAGAUUUUCUUUUCCUCUCUUCUUCUUCCCUCUUCCAUGUCCGAAACCCUAGCUCCCAAAACCUUGAUUUCCUCCACUUUUCUCAACAAAUCAACCAUGGAUCUUGCAUCAAGGAUGGAGAAUAAGAGGAGAUCACCACUUUCUACCGAAUGGAAUUUCGAAAUUUUUGAGGGCAUAACCUGAGAAGGACGAGCACUCCGUUAUAGCACUGUCCUGCGUUUGGAGGUCAGCCUCAACUUUUCAUGCUCGUCUUCCUUGUUAGCCUCUGUCUGUCCAAGCAUUUGGGUGAAGCCUACCCGUUUGGUGAAGUUUUGGC